GACCGCACGGGAUGAUGCAUCUUCCCGUUCGGUCGCGUUAAGUCGACUGCACGGGAUAAUGUAUCUUCACGUGCGGUU
rnacentral:pre_miRNA from 19 species